GAUGCCCACCAAUAUUAAAGAUCUUCUAUAAAUAGCAGUUUGUGCUAAAUGCAGUGUAAUUCACUCUGUGGAAGGAAUUAGUGGUCUUACCCAUUCAAGGCUGAGAACUUACCAUCCUGUGUUCCAUAUUAGUACACUUUUUCAUUUUAUAAUCACAGAUUUCUGGUUUUGUGUCCUUCACGAUUGGUUAAAUGCUACGGGCCCUCUGACAAGAUGAAAAAAGUGAUACAUACCAUAGUAAAUAAAUGUUAUGUGAAACAGGAGGCAUAUAAUUAUGCACUAGUGUAUUAAAAUAUGGCUAGCAGUUCAAUUUAGGUACAACAAAUUGCUGUUUAAUUAGCUGCCCGUGGUUUACUCAGAAGAUGUAGAAAAAAUAAUAAAAAUCAAAAGCUGAUUUUAUUGUUAUUACUGGCUAAAUGGAAGAGCUAGGGUAUUACAGGUGAAUCUGUGUUCUUUUCCUGAUAAUUUUUGCAUGAGCAGGAUUAAAAAAUAGCUGGGAAUAUAUUUGUAAAUACACUAUGUGAUGUAAUAAGUCUAUUACACUUAAAAGGUAUGAACAAAACUUGAGAGACCAUAGCAGUAGUGCUGUUUGAACUUACAAUCUUAGCUUUGUUCUUUUUGACUAAUAUUUUCCUUUUGCUUAUGUAAAAUUGCAACAGAAUAAAUCCAAUGCAUAUGGACUUCACAUGAUGAAGUUGAGCCACUGCAGAAAUUAUUCUAAUCAGAUAGCAUAAAAUAGCGGUAAGGAAGACAGUGGGCUUUGAGCAGUAGAUAAAGAAAAGCUCAGAUGGAUUCAAAAUUAAAUAAAGCUUCUUCUUUUCUAGCUCAGGCUGAGAGAAAGCAUGGACCUAAGGAAUUUAAAUCAACGCCUAAACCCGAAUUGCAAACUCAAAACAUACUGGCUUCAUACGGUUUUCUUCAUGUUACUUCUACUCAAACUUUUACAGCUUCAGAAAUACCAGACACUGCUGGAUAUACUACUGAUCUGGAGAUAACCAUGCCUGUAGUUACCACAGAACCUCAUUUGUUAGAAACAACAUUGGAUUUAGGUGAAACGAAGCCUUUUUCUUCAAGAUCCAUAACAUCUGGCAUGCCAGAAAUGCCACCAGUCUCAGCUGCUACUCAGAGACCAAAGGUGAAGCCUUCUCCUCCUUCCAUUGCAAUCCAAGGGACAGUGGAGGCGACCCAGAGACGGGCUCCGGAAUCCACCUCGUCUGCUUCACCGGAAACCACGAGGACUGUGAUGGCUACCCGGCGACCAAGGCUGAAAUCUACCUCUUCUUCCCCCCUGGCGACCCAGCAAACAGUGACGGCUUCGAAUAACCUUCUUCAUGUUACUUCCACUUCCCAAAUAUCUGCAUCUGCAAAAAUGUCAGAGACAGAGACUGCUACCCAGGAGCCAGGCCUGGAAUUCACAUCUCUUCCCUCCAUGGAAACCACAGAGAGCGUGAUGGAUUUUAUUUCAGCUUUUGAUGAAAAGCAGCCUGUUUCUUCAAGAUCUGAAACAUCUGGCAUCCAAGAAAUGCUGUCAGCUGUACCUGGUAAUAGUUGAAAAUG
rnacentral:lncRNA from 1 species